AUUGAACGCUGGCGGCAUGCUUUACACAUGCAAGUCGAACGGCAGCGCGGGGCCACCUGGCGGCGAGUGGCGAACGGGUGCGUAAUAUAUCGGAACGUACCCAGAAGUGGGGGAUAACGUAGCGAAAGUUACGCUAAUACCGCAUACGAUCUACGGAUGAAAGUAGGGGACCGCAAGGCCUUAUGCUUUUGGAGCGGCCGAUAUCUGAUUAGCUAGUUGGUGAGGUAAAGGCUCACCAAGGCGACGAUCAGUAGCUGGUCUGAGAGGACGACCAGCCACACUGGAACGGAGACACGGUCCAGACUCCUACGGGAGGCAGCAGUGGGGAAUUUUGGACAAUGGGCGCAAGCCUGAUCCAGCAAUGCCGCGUGAGUGAAGAAGGCCUUCGGGUUGUAAAGCUCUUUUGUCAGGGAAGAAACGGUAGAGGCUAAUAUCCUUUGCUAAUGACGGUACCUGAAGAAUAAGCACCGGCUAACUACGUG
rnacentral:rRNA from 1 species